rnacentral:rRNA from 1 species
UAUAAACGAUAAGCCUCGUAAUAUCUUUCUUGUUCUUGUUGGAGUUAGUAUACCGUCAUUAUUAGAUAAUUUUGUUAAAAAAAUUAUUAUAAUUAAGUGGUUGUUAAGUAUAUUAGAUCAUGGUGCUGCUGAUGGGCAAGUUUUAAAUGGGUUACAAUAAGUUUAAUUUAUCACGAAUUUAUAGGUGAAAUGCUAUAUUGAAGGUGGAUUUAAUAGUAAUAUAAAUUUAAUAUGUUUGUAUGAGAUUAG